rnacentral:rRNA from 1 species
GUUGAACGCUGGCGGCGCGCCUAACACAUGCAAGUCGAACGGCAACCCUCCUCGGAGGGCAGAGAGUGGCGAACGGCUGAGUAACACGUGGGGAACCUGCCCCCUCCUCCGGGAUAGCGGACCGAAAGGACGGGUAAUACCGCAUACCCCCGGGUUCCGAAUGGCAGCCCGGCUAAAGCAACGGAGGGGGGAGCUGGCUUCGAGGCCCAUCAGGUAGACGGCGGGGUGAGGGCGCUCCGUGCCGACCACGAGUAACCGUGUUAAGGGACCGACGGGCCCGAUCGGGACUGAGGCACGGCCCAGACACCUACGGGAAGCAGCAGAAGCGAAUCUUACGCAAGGGGGGGGACCCUAGCGCGGCGUCGCCGCGUGCGGGACGGAGGCCUUCAAGGCAUAGGCCGCUUUCAGCAGGGAGGAGUCAUGACGGUACCUGCAGAAGAAGCCCCGGCUAACUACGUG